CGAAAGCCUGACGGAGCAACGCCGCGUGAGGGAGGAAGGCUCUUGGGUUGUAAACCUCUCUUCUCAAGGAAGAUAAUGACGGUACUUGAGGAAUCAGCAUCGGCUAACUCCGUGCCAGCAGCCGCGGUAAUACGGAGGAUGCAAGCGUUAUCCGGAAUAAUUGGGCGUAAAGCGUUCGUAGGUGGUGAUGUAAGUCUGCUGUUAAAGCGUGUAGCUUAACUACAUAUAGGCGGUGGAAACUACAUGACUAGAGUGCGGUAGGGGUUACGGGAAUUCCCAGUGUAGCGGUGAAAUGCGUAGAUAUUGGGAAGAACACCGGUGGCGAAGGCGCGUAACUGGGCCUGCACUGACACUGAGGGACGAAAGCUAGGGGAGCG
rnacentral:rRNA from 1 species